rnacentral:rRNA from 1 species
UACAGAGGUCUCAAGCGUUGUUCGGAUUCAUUGGGCGUAAAGGGUGUGUAGGUGGCGCGCUAAGUCGGGUGUGAAAUUUCGGAGCUUAACUCCGAAACUGCAUUCGAUACUGGCGUGCUUGAGGACUGGAGAGGAGACUGGAAUUUACGGUGUAGCAGUGAAAUGCGUAGAUAUCGUAAGGAAGACCAGUGGCGAAGGCGGGUCUCGUGGACAGUUCCUGACACUGAGACACGAAGGCCAGGGGGAGCAAACGGGAUUAGAAACCCCGGG